GAGUUUGAUCAUGGCUCAGGAUGAACGCUAGCGGCAGGCCUAACACAUGCAAGUCGAGGGGCAGCAUAGAUAGCUUGCUAUCUGAUGGCGACCGGCGCACGGGUGCGUAACGCGUAUACAACCUACCUAUUACUGAGGGAUAGCCCGAAGAAAUUUGGAUUAAUACCUCAUAGAAUUAUAAGAUGGCAUCAUUUAAUAAUUAAAGGUUACGGUAAUAGAUGGGUAUGCGUCCUAUUAGCUAGAUGGUGGGGUAACGGCUCACCAUGGCGACGAUAGGUAGGGGUCCUGAGAGGGAGAUCCCCCACACUGGUACUGAGACACGGACCAGACUCCUACGGGAGGCAGCAGUGAGGAAUAUUGGACAAUGGAGGCAACUCUGAUCCAGCCAUGCCGCGUGUAGGAAGACGGCCCUAUGGGUUGUAAACUACUUUUGUACGGGAAGAAAUACAGUCACGUGUGAUUGUUUGACGGUACCGUAAGAAUAAGCACCGGCUAACUCCGUGCCAGCAGCCGCGGUAAUACGGAGGGUGCAAGCGUUAUCC
rnacentral:rRNA from 1 species